rnacentral:rRNA from 1 species
UGAGCUUUACUAUUAACUUGUAUUGCCAGAGCAAUAAAGGGAACCCCAAAGGUUCCCGGGAUCCAACGGAUCCCUUAGGUACCCUGUCCUUUGCUUCAUAAUAAAAUUGUGAAGACUAAGUGGAAAAAGAUAAAACAAGGGAUUAAAAAAAACGGGUCUCUGGGCCCCGGCUCUCAAAAGGCCCCUUGGCUUCUUGUCCCAAUUUAUAUGAAAAACCACUCUUUUUAUUAAGAUUACUGUCUAAAACCGUACAAGUAAGAUAGUUUGGUUGGGGCGACCGCCUUCGAAAAAGUAUCGAAGGCGCACAUAAGAUUAGUCCGGAGGGGGGUCCUACGAAUCCCCCUCCCGGGGGCAAUGCCCCAAAAAAGAUUAGUUUGACUGAAAGGGCUACAACCCGAACAGGCGCCGGGGGAUCCGGGGGCGCGCCAUGGGCGCGCCC